CAGGCCAGAAGGAUGCGUAUGCCCCAUUCUCUCAGCAGAAUGAUCAGAAUCCAUGGAGAGAGCACCAAGAAGCAGUGGGAAAAUUCGAUACGGUCUGUGGCAUGUGAGCGUACGGCCAGUGAGCAGGAACUUUGUUCAAGAGCACAUCUCUGCCCACCUGGAAUGGAUUUUUAAUCAACACCAUGGGAUGAACACACUGGUUCCAAGAAUAAGAGCAAGACAGAAAAAAAUCGAGAGAGACUUAUCCUA